GAUGAACGCUGGCGGCGUGCUUAACACAUGCAAGUCGAACGGAAAGGCCCUGCUUGCAGGGUACUCGAGUGGCGAACGGGUGAGUAACACGUGGGUGAUCUGCCCUGUACUUUGGGAUAAGCCUGGGAAACUGGGUCUAAUACCGAAUAUGACAAUUGUUUGGAUGAGAUUGUGGAAAGCUUUUGCGGUAUGGGAUGAGCUCGCGGCCUAUCAGCUUGUUGGUGGGGUAAUGGCCUACCAAGGCGUCGACGGGUAGCCGGCCUGAGAGGGUGUACGGCCACAUUGGGACUGAGAUACGGCCCAGACUCCUACGGGAGGCAGCAGUGGGGAAUAUUGCACAAUGGGCGCAAGCCUGAUGCAGCGACGCCGCGUGGGGGAUGACGGCCUUCGGGUUGUAAACUCCUUUCGCAACCGACGAAGCCUUUUGGUGACGGUAGGUUGAGAAGAAGCACCGGCUAACUACGUG
rnacentral:rRNA from 1 species